AUUGAACGCUGGCGGCAGGCUUAACACAUGCAAGUCGAACGAGUGGCGGACGGGUGAGUAAUGGUUGGGAAUCUAGCUUAUGGAGGGGGAUAACUACGGGAAACUGUAGCUAAUACCGCGUAACAUAGGAUGGGCCGAAGUGGGAUUAGGUAGUUGGUGAGGUAAAGGCUACCCAAGCCGACGAUUCCUAGCUGGUCGGAGAGGAUUACCGGCCACACUGGGACUGAGACACGGCCCAGACUCCUACGGGAGGCAGCAGUGGGGAAGUUUGCGCAAUGGGGGCAACCUGACGCAGCCAUGCCGCGUGAAUGAAGAAGGCCUUCGGUUUGUAAAGUUCUGUCGGUAGCGAGGCGUUAUCUACAGAAGAAGCACCGGCUAACUCCGUGCCAGCAGCCGCGGUAAUUC
rnacentral:rRNA from 1 species